rnacentral:rRNA from 11 species
UGCUCCUAGUACGAGAGGACCGGAGUGAACACACCGCUGGUCUCCCGGCUGUUGUACCAACAGCACAUGCCGGGUAGCUACGUGUGGUCGGGAUAACCGCUGAAAGCAUCUAAGCGGGAAGCCUUCCCCAAGAUCAGAUAUCCCACUCUCCUCGAAGAGGUAAGUCUCCCGGUAGACCACCGGGUCAGAGGCCAGACGUGCACGCACGGUGACGUGCUGAGCGAACUGGUCCUCAUCAGACGAGGUCUUGAC